rfam:Ictidomys tridecemlineatus contig031626, whole genome shotgun sequence.
UAGCUCAGUUGGUAGAGUGCUUGCCUCCCAUGCACAAGGCCCUGGGUUCAAUCCCCAG